rnacentral:rRNA from 1 species
CCCCACUGCUAUCGAGAUGGGACUAAGCCAUGCUAGUCGAACGACCCGGACUAUGGCGGGAAGUGGCAGACUGCUCAGUAACACGUAGCUAACCUACCCUUGGGACGGGUACAACCCCGGGAAACUGAGGUUAAUACCCGAUAGGUGUGGAUUCCUGGAAUGGUACCACGCCCAAAUGUUGCGCAUCCAUGUUUGCGUAAACGCCCGAGGAUGGGGCUGCGGCCGAUCAGGCAGUUGGUGAGGUAACGGCUCACCAAACCUUUGACCGGUACGGGCCAUGAGAGUGGUAGCCCGGAGAUGGGCACUGAGACAAGGGCCCAGGCCCUACGGGGCGCAGCAGGCGCGAAACCUCCACAAUUCACGAAAGUGAGAUGGGGUUAUCUCGAGUGCCGCCUGAUGAAGGCGGCUUUUCCAUUGUGUAAUGAGCCGUGGGAAUAAGAGGGGGGCAAGACUGGUGUCAGCCGCCGCGGUAACACCAGCCCCUCGAGUGGUGGGGAUGAUUAUUUGGCCUAAAGCGUCCGUAGCUGGCCCUGUAAAUCUCUCGUUAAAUCCAGCGUCCUAAGCGUUGGGCUGCGAGGGGAACUGCAGAGCUAGAGGGUGGGAGAGGUCAGCGGUAUUCCUGGGGUAGGGGCGAAAUCCAUUGAUCCCAGGAGGACCACCAGUGGCGAAGGCUGCUGACUUGAACACGCCUGACAGUGAGGGACGAAAGCUGGGGUAGCGAAUCGGAUUAGAUACCCGAGUAGUCCCAGCCGUAAACGAUGCAGGCUAGGUGUUGGGUCGGCCACGUGCUGGCUCAGUGCCACAGGGAAGCCAUUAAGCCUGCCGCCUGGGGAGUACGGCCGCAAGGCUGAAACUUAAAGGAAUUGGCGGGGGAGCACCACCAGGCGUGAAGCCUGCGGUUU